rnacentral:rRNA from 1 species
AGCCUGAUGCAGCCAUGCCGCGUGUGUGAAGAAGGCCUUCGGGUUGUAAAGCACUUUCAGUCGUGAGGAAGGUGGUGAGUUAAUAGCUGCAUUAUUUGACGUUAGCGACAGAAGAAGCACCGGCUAACUCCGUGCCAGCAGCCGCGGUAAUACGGAGGGUGCGAGCGUUAAUCGGAAUUACUGGGCGUAAAGCGCAUGCAGGUGGUUUGUUAAGUCAGAUGUGAAAGCCCGGGGCUCAACCUCGGAAUAGCAUUUGAAACUGGCAGACUAGAGUACUGUAGAGGGGGGUAGAAUUUCAGGUGUAGCGGUGAAAUGCGUAGAGAUCUGAAGGAAUACCGGUGGCGAAGGCGGCCCCCUGGACAGAUACUGACACUCAGAUGCGAAAGCGUGGGGAGCAAACAGGAUUAGAUACCCUGGUAGUCCACGCCGUAAACGAUGUCUACUUGGAGGUUGUGGCCUUGAGCCGUGGCUUUCGGAGCUAACGCGUUAAGUAGACCGCCUG